rnacentral:tRNA from 2 species
AGCUCUGUGGUGAAGUUCAUGUCGGGUUGCAAACCCGAAGACGCGGGUUGACGCCCGCCGGGGCUU